rnacentral:rRNA from 1 species
ACGGUUCAGUCGCACGUGGAUAACCUGCCCUCAGGUCUGGCAUACCCCCGGGAAACUGGGGAUAAUUCCGGAUAACGCAUAUGUGCUGGAAUGCUUUGUGCGUGAAAGGUCCUCCGCCUGAGGAUGGGUCUGCGGCCUAUCAGGUAGUAGCGGGUGUAAUGUACCUGCUAGCCGACGACGGGUACGGGUUGUGAGAGCAAGAGCCCGGAGAUGGAUUCUGAGACAUGAAUCCAGGCCCUACGGGGCGCAGCAGGCGCGAAAACUUUACAAUGCGGGAAACCGUGAUAAGGGGACACCGAGUGCCAGCAACAUUUGCUGGCUGUCCAGGUGUGUAAACUACACCUGUUAGCAAGGGCCGGGCAAGACCGGUGCCAGCCGCCGCGGUAACACCGGCGGCCCGAGUGGUGAUCGUUAUUAUUGGGUCUAAAGGGUCCGUAGCCGGUUUAGUCAGUCCUCCGGGAAAUCUGUCAGCUCAACUGAUAGGCUAUCGGGGGAUACUGCUAGACUUGGAACCGGGAGAGGUAAGAGGUACUACAGGGGUAGGAGUGAAAUCUUGUAAUCCCUGUGGGACCACCUGUGGCGAAGGCGUCUUACCAGAACGGGUUCGACGGUGAGGGACGAAAGCUGGGGGCACGAACCGGAUUAGAUACCCGGGUAGUCCCAGCCGUAAACGAUGCUCGCUAGGUGUCAUGCAUGGUGCGACCGUGUAUGGUGCCGUAGGGAAGCCGUGAAGCGAGCCACCUGGGAAGUACGGCCGCAAGGCUGAAACUUAAAGGAAUUGGCGGGGGAGCAC